ensembl:lncRNA
AUUUGUGUCUUUUUUUCAAUGAAAAAUAAUUGUUCUGAAAGCAACUUUUUUCCGACACAAAGGAAGUCAAAGCAGACACUUACGAAGAUGACAUCUCAGGUAAGCAGUAUUGACGAAUCCUAAAAAUUACAUUUGCUGCUUUGGAUUGAACAGUCAUAUCUCAGUUAUUGUUUUCAUAUCAUGAAAAAAUAAUGUAUUUACUUUCAGAGAGCGAGCUGAUCAAGGGGUCGAAAAUGUAGAUAUUGCCAGAUGUUCACUAUCCGAGGAACAAGCCGUGGAAGCUUUAUUGCUGGCAAAAGUGUCCAUAACCAGAGGUUAUAUCAGCUGUGUUGGUGAAGCCCUCCCGCAUCUGAACUGGCUAACACAGAGGGCACAGCAUGAUCAUAGGUAUGUUUUGAUGUGAGAGAGGAAGCCAGGUAUGUUUUGAUGUGAGCGAGGAAGCCAGUCCCAUCAUCGCCACCUCACAUCACGACUGGGAGCUCAAGGCUGGUUAGGAGACACAGCUAGAGGAACUAUGUAACAGUCUCACCCUCUAGAUGCCUUCCACAAGAACUUCAAGUAUAUUUCCUCCCCACCCUUUCUUCUAGAAAAAAAAACAGUCUGUGUUUUCUCAACUGAAAACUUGAAUCCCCACCUGAGGGACC